ensembl:lncRNA
UCAUCACUACUUUUAUUUUUGAGAGGUAUUGACAUGUUGAAUGCACCACGAUGUCUGUCUAAACAACUAGCACACCUCGGACACCCAUGCAUACCCCACAAGACAAGAGGUCUCUUCACAGUCCCCAAGACCAGAAUAGACUAUGGGAGGCAUACAGUUACUAGAUAGAGUUCCAUGUUGUCAUGGCUCUAUUCCACAUCAAGUAACUGACGCAAGCAGUAAAAUUAGACCGAAAACCCCCCAGAAAAAAUAACACCUUAUGAAACAGCGGGGCCUGUGAAGCAACACAAACAUUGGCACAGUCACACUAAAAUAACACAUCCUAGAUCUGAAUGAAUGAAAUAUUCUUCUUAAAUACUUUUUUCUUUACAUAGUUGAAUGUGCUGACAACAAAAUCACACAAAUUUGAUUUCCAUUGAUAAUUCUUAUCAACCCAUAGAGGUCUGGAUUUGGAGUCACACUCAAAAUUAAAGUGGAAAACCACACUACAGGCUGAUCCAACUUUGAUGUAAUGUCCUUAAAACAAGUCAAAAUGAGGCUCAGUAGUGUGUGUGGCCUCCACGUGCCUGUAUGACCUCCCUACAACGCCUGGGCAUGCUGCUGAUGAGGUGGCGGAUGUUCUCCUGAGGGAUCUCCUCCCAGACCUGGACUAAAGCAUCCGCCAACUCCUGGACAGUCUGUGGUGCAACGUGGCGUUGGUGGAUGGAGCGAGACAUGAUGUCCCAGAGGUGCUCAAUUGGAUUGAGGUCUGGGGAACGGGCGGACCAGUCCAUAGCAUCAAUGCCUUCCUCUUGCAGGAACUGUUGACACUCCAGCCACAUGAGGUCUAGCAUUGUCUUGCAUUAGGAGGAACCCAGGGCCAACCGCACCAGCAUAUGGUCUCACAAGGGGUCUGAGGAUCUCAUCUCGGUACCUAAUGGCAGUCAGGCUACCUCUGGCGAGCACUGCUUCCUGACUGAGAAUUGUGGGAGAACUAAAUUGGUGUUUGCAGUGAUGGUGCACAGACCAUGGCAGGGAUGAGAAAAUGUUAAGGGAAUUUCUAUCUAUAAUGACUAAUUAUGUAUACAUUUCAAUCAGGAUGAAUUAAAGGACUAUUAUGUUACUGUACAUGUAUGAAUUUUCUCUCUUGCUCCCAUUAUUGAAUAUAAUGUAGUGAAUGUAGUCGGGAGUUUAGUACAAUGACGGUCUGUUCCUUUGUACAAAUGAAUUAACUAUCUCCAGAUGGCAGGGACAGACUAUCUCCAGACUGUCUAGAAUGCUUAUCUACACUGACUGACCUUGGCUCUAGGCGAGGAGGGAAGGCUUGAGAACUAUAGGGCCUCUCUACCAGUGUCAAGAAGAGACGGAACAUUAAGAAAACGCUGACGUCAUUUUAAGUUUAUAACCUGUGGUAAAAUGUGUAUGAACUCAGUACUCUCUUGAAUUAAAGGCUGUUACUUGACUUUUAAGACCGGGGCUCUGUCCAUUCUUAUAAAAUAAGGGUCUACAAACCCUUAUGCAUUGACAGAGUGUUUAAUUUUGAUUGGGAAUUAAAACAGAGGAAUUAAAUUCCUUCAACAGAAAAGGACUUCGGGCACUCAUCAAGGAGGACUCACCUAAUGCUGAGUGGACACACUGUGUUAUACACAGAUAAGCACUGGCAUCAAGGCACCUUUCCUCUGAAUUAAGUGAGGUUAUGACUGACAUUGUAGGUGUAGUCAAUUUUAUAAAGACCAGACCACUAAAAACAAGAGUCUUCUCUGCUAUCUGUGAGGAGAUGGGAGCUGAACAUCAAGCUGUGCUGUUUCACAGUGAAGCAAGGUGGCUGUCACGAGGAAAAGUAUUGUCCUGAGUUUUUGAGCUCAGAGAGCCAGAUAAGAAUGUUUUUGGAGCAGGAGCACAAGUAUGACCUCGCAGAAAAAUUUAGUGAUGAGAACUUCCUGGCAAAACUGGCCUACCUGAGUGACAUGUUUGGAAAGCUAAAUUAACUAAAUCUACAGCUUCAAGGGAAAGAAAAACACCUCCC